UUUGAUCCUGGCUCCAGGACGAAACGCUGGCGGCGCGCCUAACACAUGCAAGUCGAGCGAUGCACCAUCCACGGAAUCUUUCGAGAUGAAGGGAAGUGGAAAUAGCGGCGGACGGGUGAGUAACACGUGAGUAACCUGCCUUUUACAAGGGGAUAGCCUCGGGAAACCGGGAUUAAUACCCUAUGAGACUCCUCUUUCGCAUGAAAGAGAAGUUAAAGCGAAUAAGCGGUAAAAGAUGGACUCGCGCCUGAUUAGCUAGUUGGUGGGGUAAGAGCCUACCAAGGCAACGAUCAGUAGCCGGCCUGAGAGGGUGAACGGCCACAUUGGAACUGAGACACGGUCCAAACUCCUACGGGAGGCAGCAGUGGGGAAUAUUGCACAAUGGAGGGAACUCUGAUGCAGCGACGCCGCGUGAGCGAAGAAGGCUUUCGAGUCGUAAAGCUCUGUCCUAUGGGAAGAUAGUGACGGUACCAUAGGAGGAAGCCCCGGCUAAUUACGUGCCAGCAGCCGCGGUAAUACGUAGGGGGCGAGCGUUGUCCGGAAUUACUGGGCGUAAGGGGUUCGCAGGCGGCUAUGCAAGUCUGGUGUGAAAGACGGAGGCUCAACCUCCGCAAGCAUUGGAAACUGUAUGGCUUGAGUGAAGGAGAGGCAAGUGGAAUUCCUAGUGUAGCGGUGAAAUGCGUAGAUAUUAGGAGGAAUACCAGUGGCGAAGGCGACUUGCUGGACUUCAACUGACGCUGAGGAACGAAAGCGUGGGGAGCAAACAGGAUUAGAUACCCUGGUAGUCCACGCCGUGAACGAUGAGUGCUAGGUGUCGGGGGUCAUACCUCGGUGCCGGAGCUAACGCAU
rnacentral:rRNA from 1 species